GGUGUUCAUCUCUUAGGAGCCUCCUCAUCUAUUGUAUCUGAAGGUCAACAUUGAUGGGAGUGUUACAGGCAAACAUGGUGGGGCAAGCUUUGUGAUUUAUAGGCUUAACUCCAUUUUAAUUGCGGUGGGGAGAGUUAGUUACAUGAGCCUAUAAUUUUUGGGGUAGAGCUCCACACGGCUUGGGUGGAGAUCAUGUUCGCUAGAAAGACUCUUAGAGCUGGUCAGCUCGUUGUCGAGAACAACUCUACUGUGGUGGUGUCUUGGUUGUAGAAUUAUAUCUAUGAUGGAGCCACUCACCCUUUUUACACGACGUUUCGAUUUUGAUGGGAGAAUGUAC
rnacentral:lncRNA from 1 species